AGCCUACGAGUUACUUUUACUGGCAAGGUUAAGUUCUUCAGGAACGGAGCCGUAGCGAAAGCGAGUCUUAAUAGGGCGCCAUAGUCAGUAGUAGUAGACGCGAAACCGUGCGAUCUACCCAUGGGCAGGUUGAAGCUGUGGUAACACAUAGUGGAGGACCGAACCCGUUGACGUUGAAAAGUCUUGGGAUGACCUGUGGGUAGGGGUGAAAGGCCAAUCAAGCUCGGAAAUAGCUCGUACUCCCCGAAAUGCAUUUAGGUGCAGCGUGUUAUU
rnacentral:rRNA from 1 species